UACGUAGGGUGCGAGCGUUAAUCGGAAUUACUGGGCGUAAAGCGUGCGCAGGCGGUUUUGUAUGACAGGUGUGAAAUCCCCGGGCUUAACCUGGGAACUGCAUUGUGACUGCAAGACUAGAGUGCGGCAGAGGGGGGUAGAAUUCCACGUGUAGCAGUGAAAUGCGUAGAUAUGUGGAGGAACACCGAUAGCGAAGGCAGCUUACUAAGUUGUAACUGACGCUGAUGCACGAAAGUGUGGGGAUCAAACAGG
rnacentral:rRNA from 1 species